rnacentral:rRNA from 1 species
GGAAUUUUCCGCAAUGGGCGAAAGCCUGACGGAGCAACGCCGCGUGAGGGAUGAAGGCCUCUGGGCUGUAAACCUCUUUUAUCAAGGAAGAAGAUCUGACGGUACUUGAUGAAUAAGCCACGGCUAAUUCCGUGCCAGCAGCCGCGGUAAUACGGGAGUGGCAAGCGUUAUCCGGAAUUAUUGGGCGUAAAGCGUCCGCAGGCGGCCCUUCAAGUCUGCUGUUAAAAAGUGGAGCUUAACUCCAUCAUGGCAGUGGAAACUGUUGGGCCUGAGUGUGGUAGGGGCAGAGGGAAUUCCCGGUGUAGCGGUGAAAUGCGUAGAUAUCGGGAAGAACACCAGUGGCGAAGGCGCUCUGCUGGGCCAUCACUGACGCUCAUGGACGAAAGCCAGGGGAGCGAAAGGGAUUAGAUACCCCAGUAGUC